rnacentral:lncRNA from 1 species
CGUUCAGUAUCGUUCAAAAAAAGCGUCCCUCUUGUGGCACCUUCCCAAAAUUAGGCAGCUAAAUGGCUCUCUUACAACAGUCCGUUUGUGUGUUCUGGGGCUUUCUUACUACUUUGUUUUGUUUUCAUUUCAAAGUAGUCAAAGAGAUGAUAAUAAUAGAUGGAAAGCAAAAUGAAAGCCAUUCCAUGCAAUGCUUCUGCCACUGUACAAUAAUAAUGCAAUUAAAUGCGGGGCUCUCCUUUCACGUGGACAACCCAAAAUCCAAGCAAGAUCCCAACAAGAACCCAGAUAGCCUAAAGCUAAAGGAGGAGGGGACCUAUUUUGGAUAUCAACUGAAUGAGAGCGACAAGAGCUGAGUCCAAGAGAACAUUACCCAAGUCAAUAUGCAUCAGAGAGAGAGAGAGAGAGAGCCCGGCUGC